UCUUAGUGGCGGACGGGUGAGUAACGCGUGGGCAACCUGCCCUGUACCGGGGGAUAACACUUAGAAAUAGGUGCUAAUACCGCAUAAUAGGGAAUACCGCAUGGUAAUCCUUUGAAAACUCCGGUGGUACAGGAUGGGCCCGCGUCUGAUUAGCCAGUUGGCGGGGUAACGGCCACAAGCGACGAUCAGCAGCCGGCCUGAGAGGGUGGACGGCCACACUGGGACUGAGACACGGCCCAGACUCCUACGGAAGGCAGCAG
rnacentral:rRNA from 1 species